rnacentral:tRNA from 1 species
UAGCUCAGUGGUAGAGUACUUGCCUAGCAUGCAUGAGGCCCUGAGUUCAAUCUCAG